ncrna:unclassified sequences type-P1 twister ribozyme
CGUGUAAUGUCGCCGUGGACGGUCACAAGCCCGUGAAAAGACAGAGUGCACG